rnacentral:lncRNA from 10 species
AAAUUGCUUUGGGGAGUAUGGCCAUUUUCAUGAUGUUGAUUCUUCUUAUCCAUGAGCAUGCUGGCAAGGUUGUGGAGAAAAAGGAAUGCUUUUACACUGUUGGUGGGAGUGUAAAUUAGCUCAACUAUUGUGGAAGACAGUGUGGUCCUUGAAGACCUAGAGGCAGAAAUACAAUUUGACUCAGAAAUCUCAUUACAAGGUAUAUACCAAAAGGAAUAUAAAUCAUUCUAUUAUAAAGACACAUGCACACAUACAGCACUAUUCACAGUAGUAGGUUGGAACCAACCUAAAUGCCCAUCAAUGAUAGACCGGAUAAAGAAAAUGUGGUACAUAUAUAUACAUCAUGGAAUACCAUGCAGCCAUAAAAAAAGAAUGAGCUCAUGUCCUUUGCAGGGACAUGGAUGGAGCUGGAAGCCAUUAUCCUCAGCAAACUAACACAGGAACAGAAAACCAAAUACUGCAUGUUCUGACUUAUAAGUGGGAGCUGAAUCAUGAGAACACAUUUACACUUUGGGGGAACAACACACACUGGGGCAUGUCAGAGGGUUGGGGUAUGGAAAAGGAACAGCAUCAAGAAGGAUAGCCCAUGAGUGAUGGGCUUAAUACCUAGGUGAUGGGAUGAUCUGUGCAGCAAACCACCAUGGCACAUGUUAAACUAUAAUAAACCUGUACAUCCUGCACACGUAUCCCUGAACUUAAAAUAUAAGUUGGAAAAAAAAAGAGAAAGAAGGAAGAAAUUAGUGCUUGUCAUUUGGAACUUAGUAUAAAUCAUGUUGUAUUUUUCAUGAAUGUGCACAUUAUCUCCCAUCAAGAACACAAGUACAUGUUAUCUAUUAUCAAGAAUGUAAACCUCUAAUGUAUGGCCUAUUUAUAUUUUCUAUGUAUCUCUUGUCCUUUAAGUUCUUUGUAUAGUGUCUUGCAUGUAGAGGGAAUUACAGAAUGUAAGCUCCAUGAGGAGCUUUGAUUUUGUCAGGAAAUUUUGUUUUAACAAGAAUCUUUAUUUUAUCAUUUGCUGAUAUGUGCCAAAGAGAAAUCAGGAAAGAGAAACUAGAAUGGAAAAGACUGGUUCUCUACAGGGGUGGGGUAGAAAGAGGUGUAAGGCAGGGGAAGAGCAGUUGGGUUGACGAGGGAAUGAAACCUCUGUGAUUAUGUAUUUUUGAGUAGCUUUGACUUAUAGUCAUAGGAAUAUUUCAUAUACCUAAAAAUAAACAACAAUGAAAACCAACCAGGUUGUGAGGGGAACCCAAACUGGAAUACAAAUACUAACAAGGCUAUUGAAAAUGAACAACAUAACCACAAUGAGGUGGGUGUAAAAGAAAAAAAAACUAAACUCUAGUAACUGUGGAAGACAUAAUGUUGAUUGGACCUCAUACUAAAGCAAAAAAAAAAAAAAAAAAAAAAAAGAAAAAACUAUAUGUGGAUGCUGUAAUCUUGUUAGCAAAAGUAGGUAGGUUCCUUUUCAAAAAUUAUGAACCAGCAAUCCUGAAACUUCUUUAUACCUAUAUUAGAAUUGACUAAAUAAGUAAAUAGAUUAUAAAUGAUGAAAAUUUUGUUUUACUCUGUUAGAAAAUAAGAAGUUAUCAAUAAGAAAAGGGGAAGGCUAAAAUAAAUCCUGUGGUGUUUGAUUAAAAUUAGUUAUCAGUACAAACUAAUGAAAUUUACUAUACACACAUGCAGAUGGAAAUAUAAAUAUAAGUAUAUGUGGAUGGGUGGGUGAUAUGGUUUGGCUCUGUGUCCCUACCCAAAUCUCAUCUCCAAUUAUAAUCCCCAUGUGUUGAAGGAGGGACCUGGUGGGAGGAGAUUGAACCAUGGGAGUGGUUCCCCCGUGUUGUUCUCAUGAUAGUGAGGGAGUUCUCACGUGAUCUGAUGGUUUCAAAAGUGGCAGUUUCCCUUGCAUGCUCUCUCCUGCCACCAUGUAAGAUGUGCCUUGCUUCCCCUUUACCUUCCACCAUGAUUGUAAGUUUCCUGAGGCCUCUUCAGCAAUGCAGAACUAUGAGUCAAUUAAACCUCUUUCGUUUAUGAAUUACCCAGUCCCAGGUAGUAUCUUUAUAGCAGUGUGAGAAUGGACUAAUACAGAGAAUUGGUACCUGCAGAGUGGGGUAUUGCUCUAAAGAUACUACCUGAAAAUAUGGAAGCAACUUUGGAACUGGGUAACAGGCAGAGUUUGGAACAGUGGGGAGGACUCAGAAGAAGAUAGAAAGAUGUGGGCAAGUUUGGAACUUCCUGGAGACUUGUUGAAUGGUUUUGACCAAAAUGCUGAUAGUGAUAUGGACAAUGAAGUCCAGAUUGAGAAGGUCUUAGAUGGAGAUAAGGAACUUAUUGGGAACUGGAGUAAAGAUCAUUCAUGCUAUGCUUUAGCAACUGGUGGCACUUUGCCCCUACCCUAGAGAUCUGUGGAACUUUGAACUUGAGAGAGAUAAUUUAGGGUAUCUGGCAGAAGAAAUUUCUAAGCAGCAAAGCAUUCAAGAUGUGACCUGGCUUAUUUUGAAAGUGUUCAGUUAAAUAUUUUCAGAAAAUGUGCAACCUGAGCAUGUGAUAGAAAAAAAAAUUUUGGGGGGAGAAAUUUACAUAAGUAAUGAGGAGCUGAAUGUUAAUAGUCAAGACAAUGGAGAAAAUGUCUCCAGGGCAUAUCAGAGACCUCUCAUCACAGGCCCAGAGGCCUAGGAGGGAAAAAUGGCUUUGUGCGCUGGGCCCAGGGCUCAGGGCCCUGCUGCUCUGUGAAGCCUCAGGACUUGGUGCCCUGCAUCCCAGCCACUCCAGCUCCAGCUGUGGCUAAAAAAGGACCAAUAUACAGCUCAACCUGUUGCUUCAGAGAGUGCAAGCCACAAACCUUGGCAGCUUCCAUGUGGUGUUGGACCUGGGGUAUAGAGAAGACAAGAGUUGAGCUUUAGGAGCCUCAGCCUAGAUUUCAGAGGAUGUAUGGAAAUGCCUGGAUGUCCAAGAAGAAGUCUGCUGCAGGGGUGGAGCUGUCACGGAGAACCUCUAUUAGCACAAUGUGGAGGGGAAAUGUAGAGUUGGGGCCCCCUCGCAGAGUCCCCACUGGGGCUCUGCCUAGUAAAGCUGUGAGAAAAGGCCACUGUCCUCCAGAACCCAGAAUAGUAGAUCCACUGACAGCUUGCCCUCUGCACCUAGAAAAGCCACAGACACUCAGUGCCAGCUGCAUGAGGUGUACCCUACAGAGCCACAGGGGUGAAGUUGCCCAAGGCCAUGGGAGCCCACACUUGCAUCAGCAUGCCUUGGAUGUGAGACAUAAAAUCAAAGGAGAUUUUGGAAGUUUAAGAUUUAAUGACUGCUGGGCUGGGUUUUGAGCUUGCAUAGGGCCUGUGGCCUCUUUGUUUUGGCCAUUUU